CGUGUGUAAGCACGAGGCUGGGCUCGGGGUUGGGUGACCUGGUCCUUACCUGCCUCUCACUUCCUGCCAGUAAGCUUCACCUGGGGCAGGAAUGCGGGAGGCUGCACGGGCAGCUCACGGGGGUGCAGGCUUCCCUGCCAGCUCUGCCCCUGUCCCUGAAGGACCCAUAUCAGGGAGAAAGGAUCCAAGGAUCCAGGCUCAGAGUGGACGUGGGACAUCAGAGGACAAGCCAGAGAGAUCCUGGAGUCAUCUCAGAAGGCUUUGGGCAAAGGCACCUUCUGCAUGAAGACCCUGCUGCAGCUGAGCAUCAGACCACGAGGGGACAGCAGGAUUGUGCCCUCCGGGAUCUCUGUCCAGGUGCCCUUCUGGCCAUCAAGGGUGAAGGAAUUCUCCCUAGAGGGGCAAGGGAGAGGCCAGAGAUGUAGACAACUCCGAGUGCCAGUGGAAACCCAGACCAGCCCUCAGACACCCUGCUUGGACCUCCCCCAGAUGGCACCAUCCCUGGUCCAUGCCAGAAGUGGCUCAUCCCACACUCAGCCCCUUGGUCCAGAAGGCCUUCAUCCUCAGGACAGGGUGGAAAGAGCAAAGCUUGCCCAAGGUUCUGGUGACUAAAUAAAGCCACUGGAACUCCACCAGCCCGCUUUGCACCCAUGCUGUUGGUGUGCACAGAAGUUACGAAACAAGGAGGCCCAUCUUCUCGGAGCUGAGGAACCAAAUGGUAUCCAACUUGGAAAGAAUGACCUUGGAGCUACGCAUUUGAAGACCAGUCAUUUAUUUGGAGGCUCAAUUACCUAAUUCUGAGCUGGGCUGCCUGGCAGGCUGGCAAAGGUGAACACAGGGCAAAGGCAACCACUUCUCUCAUGCGCCCAACCCAAAGCAGAAGCCUCUGGAGGAGGAGACUGAGUCAGGGCUAGGGAGACUCCUGGCUGUGGAAGAAGACGGAGCAGAACUCCGGAGGAGCUGUGGGCAUAUCCUGUCUCAUGAUGGCCUCUGGUGGCUCUUUUCUUCAAUCUCCCAUGACCAUCCAAAUAUUUCUGCUUGACCCUGGUGCCUUGGGCUGGAAAGAAAACAGACCCAGGAAGCCGCUCAUGCCAGUCUGAGAAAUUCUGGCUUGGAGCCACCAGGACGUGGCACAAUCUUCCCCAACCCUAUCCCAAGCCUUCUAUAUUUUGAAAACAGUAUUAAAGGGAAAUUGGUUCAUGGAGCCCCCAAGGACACAAAAAAAUCACAGAAGUUCAAGUCCCUUAUCAUGAAAUGGCAAGUAUUUGCACAUAACUACAUAAUCCUCUCAGAUACUUUAAAUCAUCCCUCGAUUAUUUCAGAUACCUAAUGUAAUGUAAGUGCUACGUAAAAAGUUAUUUAGGGAAUAAUGACAUUGAGGGAAUGUGUAUUAUUUAGGGAAUAAUGACAAGGAAAACAUCUAUACAUGUUCAAUACAGAUACAAUUUAAAAAAAACACUUUCAGUCUACGAUUGGUUCAAUCCACAGAGGGGGGACCUCUGGGUGUGGAAGGCCAAGUGCAUAAUAUAGAGACAUAAAUAUGCACAAAAUAUAUGCUUACAGCUCAACAAAUUAUUAGUGAGCCAAAGUAGAGUUCGGUUCAAGAAAUGGGAGAUUGUGGUUUCCCCAGUCACCCCUCCCCCCAUCAGGUGUCUGAUUUUUCUUUGUAGCCUUAUAAAGACAAUUAAAUAUGCAACAAGUAAUGCAGGUGGGUCCAGCCGGUUUUCUAACUCUAUAUGGAUGGACUCAUGUCUGUGUGUUCGCCGAGUUCAGCUUUUUUCACUUAAUGUAAGUUUUGCAUGUAGCUUAGAUCAUCCUUCUGGGUCUGUGGGUUACCUCAUAAUAAUGACCACACAGCAGUGUACAAAUGUGUUCUAUGGUUGAUGGGCGUUUGGGUUGUCUCCAGGUGUUUGACUAAUAGAAAUAACUUUUCCUACCCUUCUACCUAAUUAUCUUUAGGUGUUAAAGAAGAUAUAUGAGCUGGGUGUGGUGGCACAUGCCUGUAAAUCCCAGCAGCUCCUGAGGCUGGGGCAGGAGGAUGGCGAGUUCAAAGCCAACCUCAACAACUUAAUGAGGCCCUAAAAAACUUAGAGAGACCCCAUUACCCUGCCUCAAAAUAAAAUAUAAAAAGGGGCUGUGGAAAUUGGUGCAACCACUAAGGAAAGCAGUAUGGAGAUUCCUUAGAAAACUUGGAAUGGAACCACCAUUUGACCCAGCUAUCCCACUCUUCAUUUUAUACCCAAAGGACUUAAAAUCAGCAUAUUAUAGUGACACAGUCACAUCAAUGUUUAUAGCAGCUCAAUUCACAAUAGCUAAGCUAUGGAACCAACCUAGAUGCCCUUCAGUAGGUGAAUGGACAAAGAAACUGGCAUAUAUACACAAUGGAAUAUUACUCAGCAAUAAAAGAGAAUAAAAUUAUGGCAUUUUCAGGUAAA